rnacentral:misc_RNA from 1 species
GAUGAAGAACGUAGCGAAAUGCGAUACUUGGUGUGAAUUGCAGAAUCCCGUGAACCAUCGAGUCUUUGAACGCAAGUUGCGCCCGAAGCCAUUAGGCCGAGGGCACGCCUGCCUGGGCGUCACACGUCGUUGCCCCCCCAUCUACUCCUUCGGGAUUGCGGGGGGCGGAUGAUGGCCUCUCGUGCGCCUCGUCGCGCGGUUGGCCUAAAUGCCAAGUCCUCGGCGACGCACGCCACGACAAUCGGUGGUUGCGAAACCUCGGUUGCCUGUCGUGUGCGGUCGUCGCGCAUCGAGGGCUCGAAAAAAUUGCCGGGCUUCGGCUCGACUUUCAACGCGACCCCAGGUCAGGCGGGGUUACCCGCUGAAUUUAAGCAUAUCAGUAAGCGGAGGA